GAUGAACGCUGGCGGCGUGCCUAAUACAUGCAAGUCGAGCGAACAGACGAGGAGCUUGCUCCUCUGACGUUAGCGGCGGACGGGUGAGUAACACGUGGAUAACCUACCUAUAAGACUGGGAUAACUUCGGGAAACCGGAGCUAAUACCGGAUAAUAUAUUGAACCGCAUGGUUCAAUAGUGAAAGACGGUUUUGCUGUCACUUAUAGAUGGAUCCGCGCCGCAUUAGCUAGUUGGUAAGGUAACGGCUUACCAAGGCAACGAUGCGUAGCCGACCUGAGAGGGUGAUCGGCCACAUGGGACCUGAGACCGGGCCAGACUCCUACGGGAGGCAGCAGUAGGGAAUCUUCCGCAAUGGGCGAAAGCCUGACGGACCAACGCCGCGUGAGUGAUGAAGGUCUUCGGAUCGUAAAACUCUGUUAUUAGGGAAGAACAAAUGUGUAAGUAACUAUGCACGUCUUGACGGUACCUAAUCAGAAAGCCACGGCUAACUACGUG
rnacentral:rRNA from 1 species